CUGUUUGUUUUAUACUGUUCAAUUCAAUCCAAAAAAUGUUUCAGCAUUUUCAUAAAUGUAUGCAUUUCCUGCACUCAUUUGAGGUCAUUUCCACACUGCCACGUAGGGCUGCACGAUAUGGGCAAACAAUUUAGGCCUUAUUUUUAACAACAUUUUGCAAUUGUACUCACUUGGGUGAACUGUUGGAAUCAUCAAAAUAUAAUGAUUAUUCUAAUUCUAUAGUUAGAAUGUAAUAAUGGGCACUUUGAAUACAGUGUUUGACAUGACAAUGAAUGAAAAUGCCAGGAGGAGUUUUGACAUUGUAUGAACCAAAGUGUUGUGUUUCCUAGGGGACCCCAUAAUAUUUGUAUGAUGGAGAGGCAGGGAGUCAGGAAGAAGGUGCAGUUGUGUCUGUCCUUACAGAAUGCUGACACCAAUAUUUGAAGCAUCAGGGAGGUUUUUGUUUUGUUGGUGACGUCCGGCCCGGGUGCCGCUGCUGUAGGAACCGGGGGUGCCUCAGCUGGCUCGUUGGGCUUCCACGCCUUAGCUGGCUCGAGAGGUUUCCUUGCCUCGGUUGGCAUCGGCAGGCGCCCAUCCCACGUCAUGCCUCAGCCGGCUCGUCAGGCUCCUACACCUCAGCGGGAUCGUCAGGCUCGCACGGCUCAACCGGCUCGUCAAGCUCCCACGCCUCAGCCGGCUCGUCGGGCUCCCACGCCUCAGCCGACUCGUCGGUUUCCCACGCCUCAGCCGGCUCGUCGGUCUCCCACGCCUCAGCCGGCUUGUCAGGCUCCCACGCCGCAGCCGGCUCGUCGAACUUCUACACCUCAGCCGGGUUGUCCAGCGCCAUGCCUCGGCCGACCCAUCAGGCUCGCCCAGGUGUGACGCCGGUUGUCGCCCCUAGAGGGGGGGUACUGUCACGCCUGCUCCCGCUCCUCCUCUCUGGCACUCGAAGGCGCCAGGCUGCCCAUAAUUACGCACACCUGUAACCAUCAUUACGUGCAUCAGCGCUCGCUGGACUCACCUGGACUCCAUUACCUUGUUGAUUGCCCGUCCUAUAUCUGUUCCUCUGUUAGAUCCCUGUGUCAGCAUUAUUGUCAUUUUUUUGUUUUCCCCUGUCCAGACGCUGUCUGUAUUCUGUUCCUGUCCGUGUUUCAUUAAAUGGUUACUCCCCA